CUGCGUCGGCACGGAUGGAGUACCGAACCGGGUCAGGUCGGAAACGAAGCAGCCCUAAGGUGCGAGAUCCGGUGCCGGCGUCUUUU
rnacentral:SRP_RNA from 1 species